rnacentral:lncRNA from 1 species
UAUAGUAUGUCUUUCAGAUAUAAUUCUCUAAGCUCUUUGGUUUCCUAAAAGAAACUGAGGAUUAACUUAAAAAUAGUUUUCUUCCCUGCCUUAUAAUUCUUGCAAUAUGUAAGACAUGUGUCUACUUUGAAAACUGAUUUUAAUAUGUGGGCUGUCAUUAUUGACAGAAAUCAUUUUUGCUUUCUACCUAUCACCCAGAAGAUCUCAGAUCUUAGUUGGGGAACACUAUUGCUGGGCUUGCUUCAUGUAUACUCUUAUCACUACUUUUCAAUAUAUUUUCUGGUAGUACAACCUUAUGUACAGCUGUCUCCAAGAGCCAGCCAACAAGUAUCUCACUGGGACAGGUUUUCCAUCUUCUCUCAAUGCCUUGUUUUCUUCCUUUCAUGCUACAGGCGUAUUGAUCUUGAUGAGAAAGCUCACUCAGAGAAGUAGUCAAGAAAGCAAUAUAUUGAAAAUAAAGCCAUGUAUGUAGCAAGGAAGGUAUUCAAGGUGCCCACUUUGAUGACUUGUACUCGUGCCUUUGAUCCCCACUGUAGAAAAUGCUCUGCUCCAUUUCAAAAGAGAUUGCCUUGUGCCCCAUUUGUUGGCCUUUGGAUCAAACCAGCAACAGACCUCACAGAUAGAAUUCCACCAUUAGCCAUUCACAAAGAGAUCCUGCCAUGGAAACUAGCACAUCAUACAAAAGGAGAAUAUGCCCCAUCCCAGGAGAGUGCAAAAUAUGCAGAAUAUUCUAUUCAUAAGCCCAAACUGGGUAUCUGGACUUACUCUACUACUUAAAACAAGAUGAGGUUUUUGUUCAAUGAGAGUGGAGAAGCACAGUGAGUGUUGCCUCUUGGGCCACUUAUCUUAUGGCCGCCUUCUGCAAG